rnacentral:rRNA from 1 species
CCUGCCCCUAAGUCUGGGAUACCAUUUGGAAACAGGUGCUAAUACCGGAUAAUAAAGCACAUCGCAUGAUCAGCUUUUGAAAGGCGGCGUAAGCUGUCGCUAAGGGAUGGCCCCGCGGUGCAUUAGCUAUUUGGUAAGGUAACGGCUUACCAAAGCGACGAUGCAUAACCGACUUGAGACACUGAUCGGCCACAUUGGGACUGACACACGGCCCAAACUCCUACGGGAGGCAGCAGUACGGAAUCUUCCACAAUGGACGCAAGUCUGAUGGAGCAACGCCGCGUGAGUGAAGAAGGUUUUCGGAUCGUAAAGCUCUGUUGUUGGUGAAGAAGGAUAGAGGUAGUAACUGGCCUUUAUUUGACGGUAAUCAACCAUAAAGUCACGGCUAACUACGUGCCAGCAGCCGCGGUAAUACGUAGGUGGCAAGCGUUGUCCGGAUUUAUUGGGCGUAAAGCGAGCGCAGGCGGAAAAAUAAUUCUAAUGUGAAAGCCCUCGGCUUAACCGAGGAAUUGCAUCGGAAACUGUUUUUCUUGAAUGCAGAAAAGGAGAGUGGAACUCCAUGUGUAGCGGUGGAAUGCGUAAAUAUAUGGAAGAACACCAUGGCAAAGGCGGCUCUCUG